CCUACGGGAGGCAGCAGUGAGGAAUAUUGGUCAAUGGCCGUAAGGCUGAACCAGCCAAGUCGCGUGAAGGAAGACGGAUCUAUGGUUUGUAAACUUCUUUUAUCGGGGAAUAAAGGUAUCCACGUGUGGAUCUUUGCAUGUACCCUAUGAAUAAGCAUCGGCUAACUCCGUGCCAGCAGCCGCGGUAAUACGGAGGAUGCGCGCGUUAUCCGGAUUUAUUGGGUUUAAAGGGUGCGUAGGUUGGUUUUUAAGUCAGCGGUGAAAGUUUGUGGCUCAACCAUAAAAUUGCCGUUGAAACUGGAGGACUUGAGUGUGUUUGAGGUAGGCGGAAUGCGUGGUGUAGCGGUGAAAUGCAUAGAUAUCACGAAGAACUCCGAUUGCGAAGGCAGCUUACUAAGCCAUAACUGACACUGAAGCACGAAAGCGUGGGGAUCAAACAGGAUUAGAUACCCCAGUAGUC
rnacentral:rRNA from 1 species